UGGUGGCAUAGUGAGCUUAGGCAUAGAUGGAAUGGUAGGGAAUGGAGGAAGAUUUGCUUGAGGCAAUGUUGGAAUUGAAGGCAAAGGUGGCAAUGUUGUUGUGGGAUUUGGCAAAGUGGGAAUGUUAGGCAAAUUUGGUUGUGUUGUUGUUUGCAAAAGAUGGCGAGCUUCAAGGCUUAUCAUGUUCAUGCUUGAGAUGGUCACAAGAAAAAGUAAAGAUGUGAUGAAGGAUUUGUUUGAUGCCAUUGAUGAUGAACUGUAUUUGUAUUGAGAGAAUUUGGUUUGGGAUUGAAUGAGAAACAAAGGGAUAUUGGAUGGUCUUAUAUAGAAAAAGAGAAAUUUGAAGGAGGGUAUUUUGGAGAACCAUAAAAGCUUUUGCAAUAUUUAGUUAGUUCAACUUCUUGUGUUUCACUUUGACUAAAGCAUUUUAUGUGGUUAAACUGGUUAGCUACUACUAUUACUAUUAGUUAUGACCCCCAAAACAUUCAAAUGUAUGAUGGCCAUGGCCAACUCUUUCUGUUUUUUAUUUUAAAAACUUUAAAUGUACUUUUAUUCAUUUUAUUUUGUUCAAAAUAAAUUUUUAGGUUUUUUUUUUAUUUUUAAAUUUAUCUCUUUAUUUCAUGUUUCAUUGGUCUCUUUUAUUUUUUAGGAGGUGACAUAUUCAUUAAUAACAUAGUGGUGAUGUGGUAAAACUGAAUUGGAUAAAAUUGAAUAUUUGUUAUUAAUUAAUACUCAUUUCAUGAUUAUUUAUUCGACAAAUUUCACGAAUACAUUUGUUAGUAACAACGUAAACAAAGAUUAUAAAAAAGAAAAGAAUAUUAAUUACAAUUUUAUUUUAUUUAAUUUAAUUGUGUCAAAUUAAUAUUACGUCAUUAAUAAAAAUAUCACAUAGAAAAACAGAGGCACGAAUCAAAUUUCACAAAUUGUAUAACAGACCAAAAAUCCAAUUAAAAAAGAGAUAGAUUAUAAUUAUUGAAUAAUUUUGAAAAGUGCGAGAGGAUAAAAUGACAAAUGUUAAUACAUAAUAGUUUUUAUGGAUUUGGUGACCAAGAAAAAUGUUGUUGCAACACAGGAUGUGAUGUGUAAGAGUUGGUAAUCUAGUUGGGUUCCCCUGUUUCCAAAACUCACUUAACAGCUAUAACCAUUUUACCAUUUCACAUCAACAAUUAGUUAUAACCUCCCAAACAUUCAAAUGUAUGUAUGAUGGCCAACUCUUUCUGUUUUUUAUUUUAAAACAUUUAUAUGUAUUUUUAGUUAUUUUAUUUUGCUCAAUAAUUAACUUGCUUAUUUUAAUCUAAAAUUGUUCAUGGGUACUAAAUUUGUCACCGGUACGGUAUAGAUAAAAUUAACAAAUGCGAAGGUAAAUAUACUGAUAUUUAUAUCUACAAUCAUCCAUGCUCGUUAAAUUUUUAUAUAAAAUUACCAUGUUUUAAUGCAUUUUGUUCAUGUGUUGAUGUAGUAAUACUUUUUGUGUUGUCAAUAAAGGAAAAAGAUCUACAUAACUGCAAAAUAAUAAUAAUUUUUGUAUUUUAAAUAAUUUUUUUAUUUAAAAGAUAUGUGAACAUAUUCGCUAAUACAUGUAGAUAGUAAUAGUUCGUUAAAUCUUGUUUAGUGGAUAUUUGUCUGGAUAUGGAUAAAACAUGGAUAUUAUUCUUAAAAAAUAUAUUGAAAGAAGGAUUGUGAAGGAUUUUUUUAGAAUUUAAAUAAAUUAUUCAAAUGUUUUCUAUGUUUUUAAAAUACUCUGAAAAUUUAAAAUUCAUUAAUCAUAAAUAUUCACGAUUUAUCUGUUUUCCGUUUUCAACAAACUCUCAAACGGAGCAUUAGAAAAUAAUGUCUUUCUUUAAUUACGAGAUGUUGUGCAGCCUGUGCUCAUUGUGUUGCUAAAGUAAGUGCUUGUAUGCAAGAUGCCAUACACUAAUAACAAAUUAAGGUAAGCUAGAGCUUUAGCUCACACUAAAAUAAAAAAAUAAAGCAUUUUGAGGCAUUGAAGAAACACUGAAAAAGGUGACAUGUGGAACUUUUUGUAAAUGAAAGGAUGCAAAGAGAGAUGUAUGCACUAGGCUGAGUAAUAUUUAGUAGAUGGCUGCUUAAUUAAUGUUUGUGGUUUAUUUAAUUUUGUGAGCUAAUAGGCUAAACCUCACGCUUGGGAUGGACAAAGUAGUAAAUAGAAAAGCUAUGGGCUUGUGAUGAAGUGAAAGAACUAGAGUGAACAUGCCAUGACUAAAUGAAUUGUAAGGUAGAAGAAUAAUUUGUAAGGAUCAUCCAACUUGCACAGUUGCAUGGCUCAAAUAAUCAAAGUCCCGGAUUUUUGUGUGAAAGAAUAUGUGAACGAAGUCAGAAAGUAUUUGAGAAGUUUAUUUAUUAUAAAAUUUUGAUUUCUUUGAUUGUCAUUGGACAACCUUUGUAGUUUUUUAUUUGGUUUUAAAUUUUUCAUAUUAUUUUCUGGUUUUUAAUUGUGUUUCUUAAUUCUUUAUGUCUAUUUUCCAACAGUUUACCUUCCAGAAUAUGAAAAAUAUUACAGUACUGAAGACAUAUUUUGUUGUUGGUUUAACAAAUUGAGCUAAUGGCGGCUUCAAUGCUAUUGCAACUUUGUUAUAAAUUUCCCCUCAACGCCAAGAGCCUACAAAUCACACUAGUAAUAUUGGAUGGAAUAAUAAUAUUUGGCUGACAUUUAAUGUAAACUUAAAAGUUAUAACCAUAACAACACAAUUAUUUUCCUUCUAGUUGUAUUUGAAUUUUACCAAGUAAAAAAUUUGAAGAAUCUAGUUGCCAAAUAAUCAUUUCAUACUAAUUACGCAACUCUAUUUAGUAUAAUUAACACUUUUCUCAUUAGAGUUUGAACCAUGGUCUUUUUAUUCAUUCAACACCUUCAAUCUUUAGAUCAAAUCAAUUGAACAAUCAAAUUAUUAUUAUUAUUAUUAUAAUAAUAAUAAAUCAUUAUUAUUAUUAUUAUUAUUAUUAUUGUUGUUGUUAUUAUUAUUAUUAUUAUUAUUAUUCAAUAGUACUUUUCCUGCAAUUUUUCCUUCUUUGAAUUUUUGUGAGUAGUGUUUAAUAUAUUGCAUUAGAAUUGCUAGUUUCUUUUAUAAAAAAAAGACUGCAUAAUAAUUAAUUCUUCUAAUUCAACAAAAACAAGAAAGAAGACAUCAAAUUAUAUUGUAUCAAAAUGUGAAAUUCAACAAAUAUAAACUCAAAAGUACAAGCAAUAGCACCAAAGUGGUAAGUAGAAGAAGACAAAUUACAAAGGCUUUUCACACCAUACAAUACAACAAAAGAUAAUACUAUCAUCAUAACCUCGUACUAUUUCAUCACACACAAUAAAGAAAGUAUGCAAUGUCUAUUGCAUCCAUUUAGCCAAAUCACAUAAUUCAAAUUGGCAAAUAUAACAAGUGAAGAAGUGUUUAAUUAAGGGCUAGAGGUUGAAGGUGGUGGAGAGAAAAAUGGGAUGGAUGGGAAAGUGGUUGGGAUUGAAGGAAUGUUGGGAAGGGAAGUUGCUGCCGAUGGUGGAAUGUUGAGAGAUGGAAGUGUUGGAAUAUUGGUAGGAAAGCUUGGAAGUGGCGGCAAAGUGACUUUAGGCAGAGAUGGAAUGGUAGGCAAUGGAGGAAGAUUUCCUUGAGGCAAUGUUGGAAUUGAAGGCAAAGGUGGCAAUGUUGUUUUGGCAUUUGGCAAAGUGGGAAUGUUUGGAAAAUUUGGUUGUGUAGUUGUUUGCAAAAGAUGGCGACCUUCUAGGCUUAUGCUCAUGCUUGAGAUGGUCACAAGAAAAAGUAAUGAUGUGAUGAAGGAUUUGCUUGAGGCCAUUGAUAGUUUGAUGAAUUGUAGGAGCUAAGGAGGCUGUUUGUAUAGAGAAAAUUUGCUUUGGAUUUUAUGAGAAGCAAAGGGAUAGUGAAUGGUCUUAUAUAGAGUAAGAGAGAUGUGAAGGAGGGUAGUUUGGAGAAUCAAGUGCUUUUGCAAUAUUUAGUUAGUUCAACUUCUUGUGUUUCACUUUGACUAAAGCAUUUUAUGUGGUUAGAUUGGUUGGCUACUAUUAGUUAUACAACCCCCAAACAUUCGAAUGUAUGAUAGCCAACUCUUUCUGUUUUACUAUAUUUUAAAAAGAGCAAAAGAGGAUAAAAUGGCAAGUUUUUAUAUAUAAAUAUAUUUAGUUUUAUGGAUUUGGUGACAUAAAAAUAUGUUAGAAACAGGAUGUAAUAUCUAAGAGUUGGUAAUCUAAUUGGGUUGAUCGCUGUUUUCAGAACUCACCCUUUUAAUCCAACAAUGUUAAUGAAUUCAACGAGGAUAAAACAUUGAAGUGUUGUUCUAAAGCUACAAGUAUAGAGGAUAAAACAUUGAAGUGUUGUUCUAAAGCUACAAGUAUAAAGGUCAGUUUCACAGUCCUAUAAUUAUUGUCAUCAACUCAUAUGUUAGAAAGAUAAAAAAAAUAUCAUAGUUUAAAAGAUCCAAAAUAACAUAAAAAACCUUUAAAAUUAAAAAAAUUCUAAAAUUUUGUGAGCAUGUAGACCCCCUUUUUUAAAUUUAUCUUUCAAUUAUUUUUUAAAAAACAAAUUGUGAAUUUUUUUUUUCGAUUUCUUCCAAUAAAAAAUGAAUUCUAAGGAAUUUUUUUUUAUUGUUUUGAGAAAAAAUAAUUUAUUGUUUUAUUUAUUCCGCAAAACAUUUUCAAGAAAAAAUUAAUUAAUUUUUUAGAAUCCGUGUGUAAAUAUGUAAUUUGCGAAAGUUAAGUUUUUCGGCAGAAAUAAUUACUUACCUCCAAGCCAAACUCAAUAUUGUCAUGACCUUUUUUACUCUGGAAAUUGGCUCAAUAUUGUCAUGACCUUUUUAACUCUGAAAAUUGGAACAUUGAGAAGAAAAAACAACAAUAAGAAUAGGUUAGAAUAAACAACAUACUCACAGGCUCACAGCAAUAUAUUACAAAUAGACUGGAAUAAAUAACAAUAUAUUGAUUCAUUCAUUACUAUAAAAUGUCGCCAUAAUGUCCUAGCAUCAAGUUCUCCCUCUCCCUCUAACUAGUAGGCUUCCCUUCAUCUAAUCUACUUUCUGCUUACAAGGCUUUUAUCGAUCUUUUCUACACUUUCCCAAAUCACUUUAUGUGAGAUUCUAUUAUCUUCUCCACAAUAGGUGCUAAAUUUCUAUUUCUCCUAUAUUUCUUCAAUCUAUUUAUGCGCCUCACAAAGAGAUAUAUUUUGCUUAGACCUAGUAUGUUUACUUAAAACACAUGUGCUACCCCAACAACCUUCCUUUCAAAUGUGAAAACAAGGAACUUCUGUGCUCCUAUAUUUCUUCAAUCUAUUUAGGUGCCUCACAAAGAUAUAUACUUUGCUGAGACCAAGUGUGUUACUUGGAACACACCAUAUAAGAGCUGACACUGUACCAUUUAGCAAAGACAAUAAAACAUCUAUGCAUAGAUAAAAUCCACCACAUCCAACUACCGGGAAAUGCAGGCAAUUCAACAAAACAUGCUAAUGAACAAAGGCCAAACUAUAAAAUAUUCAUUAAACACCUUCUAUGAUCCCUGUACUUGUAAGUUGAAAAGGCAUGAUACAGAAACCCGAAGAUUGACAAGUAGCUCAAAAUACAAAUGCCAUAAUGGACUCCCUAGCAAAUACCAGUUUGUUACCUUUCUAGCAGUUUGAAAAAUGCUGCAACGUUUCCUGACAGCACCAAAGAGUCAAAGACCUAAUAGAAAUCUUUACACCGAGAAAUUGCCUUUUAAGACAAAGGAUGAUGUCUUUAAGCCUCGAUCAAACAGACUUGUAAGGAUGUGAUGAAACGAAAAGAAGACUAGACAUGUUCCAUACAACAUGGUACAGAAAGUGGCCUCAACAUAUAACAUUGCAAAACCCUGAUACAGAAGGUGACCUCAACUUACAACAGAGCAAAGCCACACAACACCCCAGAAGAAAACAACAGAACCAAACAGAAAAAAAAAAUCCAAAAUAAACACUUGCAUGCAAAUAUGCAACUGUGAAAUGUUUUAUAUACAAAAUACUCACUAACAAGCAUGGUUAGAGUGCCAUCAGACAAUACAUAUGUAUAUAUGUCUUAAUUUUCAUGCAUACAGUCGGGAGUUUAGGGCCAAGUAAAACUCCAAAAAAAGCUCAUUCUUGCCUCAUUAGUGAGAGAUAGUAUGGCUGACUUAUUAAAAAGCAUCAAUCUAUAUAUCCUUCCUCAAUGGUACAACAAUAAUCUACAUGAUAUGAAGUCGUCCUCUUCAAAUACUUCAAAAACUAUAAUGUAUUGAGAUGCUGCCACAACUUAUUAUAAAAUCUAACAACAACAAGAAUUUCACAACAACUCAGCACCAUUUUAUGCAACAAUUGCAAACAUACAAGUAAUGACAUCUAUAGUCUACAAAAAUUAGAAAAAAGGAAUCUAGAAUGCAAAAUGACUAUUGACCUUUAACCUUAUCAUCUCCCACAACAUUGAGAAUGGGUAAGCUACUGAGGAACUCAUCAAGACCCUCAAAAAACCCAAUCCCUUCAAUAUUAUCCUCAGCAUUGCCAGUUGCAUUCCCUUCACGGGCACGCACUCCACGGGAAGGCUCCUCCACCUCAUUACUGAACUCCACAUUCAAAUCCAACUUCCCCAAGUUUCCAGCACCCCUCCUUCUUGAACUACCCGGUACAGCUUUCUUACUAGAAUCUAGCUUUACACCACUAGCAGCAGCAUCAACAGCCCCAACACUGUUCUCAUUCUCAUUCCCAUUCCCAUUCCCUGCAGCACCAGUAGCAUUCCUCCUAGGUCUCUCCCCAGCUUCCCUCCUAGCACUACCACUAGCAUUAGCAGAAUCUUUCCUAUACUUUUUACCACUAACUCUUGACCUCUUGACCCCUUUAUUCUUACCACUACCACUACCAUGCCUCCAAUCCCCAUCAUCAGAAUCAUCAUCACUAGGAUCAGAAAUAUCGAUAAACGCCGCAGCAGCCUCUUCAUCGUAGUAAACCCAACUCUUUUUCUUAUUGGACGAUUUCGAAGGGAAUGGAAAUAGAGGGCAUAACGGGUUCCAAUUAGAAGAAGCCCCAUUAACAUCUUUCAAAUCCCCUGAAAACCCUAAAGGGAAAAAACCCCAUGUACAAAACGAAGAAUCAAUCUCGUUCAAAGGUGGUGAACGUAUCACCACCGCAUGAAACCCCCUCCGACAACUCUGGCACCGCAGGGCACACUCUUCGUAACCCUUCGGAUACUCAUAAUAAACGUAACAGUAAGGACACAAGGUCCAGAAGCUAAUGCUACCUUCCGUUUCAGCAGCACUCGCUGUCCGAGUCUGCCGAGUCGACUCAGUGGAUUCGUUAGGGUUUCGAUUCUGCCUAGUCGGCUCUGUCGCGGCGUCUUUAGAUCUCGGGUUUUUCUUCGGCGUCAGGUUAGGAGGCGGAUACUGCUGAUGCUGAGGCACAGGUUGUGGCGGAGGCUGAUGCUGCGGAGGAGCCGGCGGGGAAGUGAGCAAUCGUAAGUCGCUAUCGUACAAAGCCUUCUUGGCAGUGUUGGAGAGAACAGACCAAGCAUCAUGGACAAGAGAAAAGGCAUGGCCGGAGAAGGCGAAGGGGUUCCGGUUAGGGUCAAGAAGGAGUGCGAGACGACGGUAUUGAUUAGCGAUGUGAUCGAUGUUGGUGGUGUAACGGAGGAUUUGGAGGAUUCCGUACCAAUCGCGGUGGUGGUCGUUGAUCCGCGAUUCACCGGCAAGGAGAGUGUCGAUGACAGCAAGGAGAAGCUCGGAGGCGUCGAAAGUAGGGUCAGAUUCGCGGGCACGGAUUGCGAAGGAGCGAGCACCGUGCAGGUCACGUGCGCUUAGAAGCUUGUUGGCGGUGUAAAGCCACCGCUCAGCUUCGGCUCUAUUCCCACCUUCCAUAGUAAUGGUGGUGGUGGUUGUUAUUUCAGUGCUGAUGAAUGGACGAUAAAGGACUCUUGAUAGUGGUGGAAUUUUACGUCAUCAGUUGACGGCGGUGCGAGGACACAAUGGUAAUUCUAUAGAAUUGGGUUCUGUCGGAACUGUGAAUGUGAUGACAUGGUUGUGGCUGGAGCUGUCAAUCACGUAUUACAUAUUUCCUUAACUAUAAGUUUCAUUGUUUUUUAUUUGAAAAAUAGAUAAUAAAUUUAAUGUAUCAAUUUUAUAUGUUGAUCAUAUCCUUCGUAUAUCAAUUUAUUUUUUUGACAUUUUUGUUUUUCAAGAUUAAAGUAAUAGUAUCGAUAAUUGGUAUAUUUGAAAAGUAGAUAAAUAAAUAUUCCAAUAAUUUAAAAGGAUGUUUAAAUUUGGAAUAAAUUAUUUUCUUAAAAAAUAUAGGAUAAUAUUAAAACAACUAAGUCUUAUUGGUACAGUGUAUUUAAAUCGAUUUAAAAAUGGAUAGAAUAAAUUAAACCAAUGAAGAGAAAUGCUAAACCAAAUUUAUUGUCAAAAACAAAUCAAGAUUUUUUUUCUUAUCUUUUAUCCAUAAAAAAUUAUUCACCUUAAUUUCUCACACAACUAAAUUCAGUUAUAAAAUAAAAUAUAUAUAUUUAUGUAUAAAAGAAAAUUAAAUUAUCUAAAAUUUAUAUUUAAAUACUUUAUUUUUUUUAUUGAUUCAACUAUCUUUUACUUAAAAUUGUAGUUUAGUAGUUUUUAUCUACCCUAACUAUAAGAAUAUCAACUAUCUAAGAAAUAAAAACAAGUAUACCUAAUUUUAUUCAAAUUUUACUCUCAUCUUUUAUCAAUUUGCCAAUUUAUAUCUCAUUCAAAUCAUUAAUUCUAACAUUCUCUCUCUCACUCACAUAAUUUUUUCCUCUCUUCUAUAUCACCCAAACUUUCUCUUAUAUAAUAUAUAUCAUUAACAUUUUCCUUUUUUCUAAUAAAUUUCAAUAUUUUUUCUUAUUUAUUUUUUCUUUUACUUUCAUAACAUAUCGUUGUGCAUCAUUAGGGUAGACUUGGAUAACUUGAAUUUGUAACAUAUUUAAUUAAUUUCAAUUGAUUAAUUUUAAAAAAAUUCAAUAAUUUUAAUAAAUGAUGUAAUGAGUCAAUUUAAUUCUAUUUACAAAAAAGAGAAAAAAACAGAACUAAUAAAAAAAUAGGUGAGAGCAUAGACAAUAUGUAUUGUGUCCUACAUAUUAGAAGACUAUAGCCUAUAUCUAUUUAUAUUUGGUCUCGUAUUAAUUAAUUAAUGAUUUAAUUAGAAAUAUAGUUAGAUUAAUUACUUAAUUUUGAUCAUUAAUCUACUAAAGCUAUUAAAUAAUAACAAAAAUAAUAACAAUAGUAUUAAAUAAAUCGUUAACAUAAUUAAUUGAUAUUUGCGAAAUAAUAUUUAUUGAAAUAUAAUUAAAAAAUAAAAUAUUUCAACGCAAGUAUUUAAAUUAUGGCAAGGGAAUUGCUAGUCUUUUUUACAAAAAGUAAAUAAAACUAUUGCAUAAUAACUCAUUUUGAAUAUUCAAUUCUUCAAAUUCAACAAAAGAAAAUAAAAGACAUCAUAUUGUAUAUAAAUUUGUACUUCAGCAUCAAUAGUAUAAAUUCAAAAGUACAAAGCAACGGAGCCAAACAGGUAAGCAGAAAAAAAAAAUUACAAAGGCUUUUUCACACCAUACAAUACAACAAAGAUAAUGAUAUAAUCAUAAACUCGUACAAUUUCAUCACACGCUAAAAGGAAAUGAUGCAAUGUCUAUUGCAUGCAAUUAGCUAACCACAUAAUGCAAGGUAGCAAAGUAACAAGUUAAAAAGUGUUUAAUUAAGGGGUAGAGGUUGAAGGAGGUGGAGAGAAAAAUGGGAUGGAUGGGAAAGUGGUUGGGAUAAUUGAAGGAAUGUUGGGAAGUGAAGUGGCUGGCAAUGGUGGAAUGUUGAGAGAUGGAAGUGUUGGAAUAUUGGUAGGAAAGCUUGGAAGUGGCGGCAAAGUGACUUUAGGCAGAGAUGGAAUGGUAGGCAAUGGAGGAAGAUUUGCUUGAGGCAAUGUUGGAAUUGAAGGCAAAGGUGGCAAUGUUGUUGUGGGAUUUGGCAAAGUGGGAAUGUUAGGCAAAUUUGGUUGUGUUGUUGUUUGCAAAAGAUGGCGAGCUUCAAGGCUCAUCAUGUUCAUGCUUGAG
rnacentral:lncRNA from 1 species